AACACAUGCAAGUCGAGGGGCAGCAUGGUCUUUGCUUGCUAAGGCCGAUGGCGACCGGCGCACGGGUGAGUAACACGUAUCCAACCUGCCGUCUACUCUUGGACAGCCUUCUGAAAGGAAGAUUAAUACAAGAUGGCAUCAUGAGUCCGCAUGUUCACAUGAUUAAAGGUAUUCCGGUAGACGAUGGGGAUGCGUUCCAUUAGAUAGUAGGCGGGGUAACGGCCCACCUAGUCUUCGAUGGAUAGGGGUUCUGAGAGGAAGGUCCCCCACAUUGGAACUGAGACACGGUCCAAACUCCUACGGGAGGCAGCAGUGAGGAAUAUUGGUCAAUGGGCGAGAGCCUGAACCAGCCAAGUAGCGUGAAGGAUGACUGCCCUAUGGGUUGUAAACUUCUUUUAUAAAGGAAUAAAGUCGGGUAUGGAUACCCGUUUGCAUGUACUUUAUGAAUAAGGAUCGGCUAACUCCGUGCCAGCAGCCGCGGUAAUACGGAGGAUCCGAGCGUUAUCCGGAUUUAUUGGGUUUAAAGGGAGCGUAGAUGGAUGUUUAAGUCAGUUGUGAAAGUUUGCGGCUCAACCGUAAAAUUGCAGUUGAUACUGGAUAUCUUGAGUGCAGUUGAGGCAGGCGGAAUUCGUGGUGUAGCGGUGAAAUGCUUAGAUAUCACGAAGAACUCCGAUUGCGAAGGCAGCCUGCUAAGCUGCAACUGACAUUGAGGCUCGAAAGUGUGGGUAUCAAACAGGAUUAGAUACCCUGGUAGUCCACACGGUAAACGAUGAAUACUCGCUGUUUGCGAUAUACUGCAAGCGGCCAAGCGAAAGCGUUAAGUAUUCCACCUGGGGAGUACGCCGGCAACGGUGAAACUCAAAGGAAUUGACGGGGGCCCGCACAAGCGGAGGAACAUGUGGUUUAAUUCGAUGAUACGCGAGGAACCUUACCCGGGCUUAAAUUGCAGAUGAAUUACGGUGAAAGCCGUAAGCCGCAAGGCAUCUGUGAAGGUGCUGCAUGGUUGUCGUCAGCUCGUGCCGUGAGGUGUCGGCUUAAGUGCCAUAACGAGCGCAACCCUUGUUGUCAGUUACUAACAGGUUCCGCUGAGGACUCUGACAAGACUGCCAUCGUAAGAUGUGAGGAAGGUGGGGAUGACGUCAAAUCAGCACGGCCCUUACGUCCGGGGCUACACACGUGUUACAAUGGGGGGUACAGAGGGCCGCUACCACGCGAGUGGAUGCCAAUCCCCAAAACCUCUCUCAGUUCGGACUGGAGUCUGCAACCCGACUCCACGAAGCUGGAUUCGCUAGUAAUCGCGCAUCAGCCACGGCGCGGUGAAUACGUUCCCGGGCCUUGUACACACCGCCCGUCAAGCCAUGGGAGCCGGGGGUACCUGAAGUGCGUAACCGGGAGGAGCGCCCUAGGGUAAAACUGGUGACUGGG
rnacentral:rRNA from 1 species